UACGAAGGGGGCUAGCGUUGUUCGGAAUUACUGGGCGUAAAGCGCGUGUAGGCGGGUCUUAAGUCAGGGGUGAAAUGCCAGGGCUCAACCUUGGAACUGCCUUUGAUACUGGGUAUCUUGAGUAUGGAAGAGGUAAGUGGAAUUGCGAGUGUAGAGGUGAAAUUCGUAGAUAUUCGCAGGAACACCAGUGGCGAAGGCGGCUCACUGGCCCGAUACUGACGCUGAGGUGCGAAAGCGUGGGGAGCAAACAGG
rnacentral:rRNA from 1 species